UACGUAGGGCGCAAGCGUUGUCCGGAAUUAUUGGGCGUAAAGAGCUCGUAGGCGGCCUGUCGCGUCUGCUGUGAAAUCCCGGGGCUUAACCCCGGGCGUGCAGUGGAUACGGGCUGGCUGGAGGCAGGCAGGGGAGAACGGAAUUCCCGGUGUAGCGGUGAAAUGCGCAGAUAUCGGGAGGAACACCGGUGGCGAAGGCGGGUCUCUGGGCAGUAACUGACGCUGAGGAGCGAAAGCGUGGGGAGCGAACAGG
rnacentral:rRNA from 1 species